UUUCCGUAGGUGAACCUGCGGAAGGAUCAUUAUUGUAUAACCGAGGUGCGAGGGCUGUCGCUGACCCGAAAGGUCGUGCACGCCCGAGUGCCCUCACACACAUCCAUCUCACCCCUAUGUGCACCACCGCGUAGGUCCCCCUUUGGCUUGUUCUGAGGGGGCUUACGUUUUCACACAAACUUUGUAUGCAGUGUAGAAUGUAUUUUUUGUUUUUGCGAUCACGCAAUCAAUACAACUUUCAACAACGGAUCUCUUGGCUCUC
rnacentral:misc_RNA from 1 species